rnacentral:rRNA from 1 species
UGGGGAAUCUUGCACAAUGGGGGCAACCCUGAUGCAGCGACGCCGCGUGAGUGAUGAAGCCCCUCGGGGUGUAAAGCUCUUUCGGCAGGGACGAUAAUGACGGUACCUGAAGAAGAAGCUGCGGCUAACUACGUGCCAGCAGCCGCGGUAAUACGUAGGCAGCAAGCGUUGUUCGGAGUUACUGGGCGUAAAGAGCGUGUAGGCGGUUGUUUAAGUUUGGUGUGAAAUCUCCCGGCUUAACUGGGAGGGUGCGCCGAAAACUGGACGGCUCGAGGAUGGGAGAGGCAUGCGGAAUUCCUGGUGUAGCGGUGAAAUGCGUAGAUAUCAGGAGGAACACCUGCGGUGUAGACAGCAUGCUGGACCAUUUCUGACGCUGAGACACGAAAGCGUGGGUAGCAAAC